rnacentral:rRNA from 1 species
GAUGAACGCUGGCGGCGUGCCUAAUACAUGCAAGUCGAGCGAACAGAUGAGGAGCUUGCUCCUCUGACGUUAGCGGCGGACGGGUGAGUAACACGUGGAUAACCUACCUAUAAGACUGGGAUAACUUCGGGAAACCGGAGCUAAUACCGGAUAAUAUAUUGAACCGCAUGGUUCAAUAGUGAAAGACGGUUUUGCUGUCACUUAUAGAUGGAUCCGCGCCGCAUUAGCUAGUUGGUAAGGUAACGGCUUACCAAGGCAACGAUGCGUAGCCGACCUGAGAGGGUGACCGGCCACACUGGAACUGAGACACGGUCCAGACUCCUACGGGAGGCAGCAGUAGGGAAUCUUCCGAAAUGGGCGAAAGCCUGACGGAGCAACGCCGCGUGAGUGAUGAAGGUCUUCGGAUCGUAAAACUCUGUUAUUAGGGAAGAACAAAUGUGUAAGUAACUAUGCACGUCUUGACGGUACCUAAUCAGAAAGCCACGGCUAACUACGUG